AGUGCUACACAGCAGGAUCUCCCUGCUUAUCCACCCUUUUGUUAUUUUUUAAAAUUUGUGUUUGUUUUAGGUGUAUCCCACAGCGAUUCAGUAUAAAUAUGUAUCCGUGUAUACUAAAAAAGUAUAUAUAUUCUGAAAAAGUAUACAUAUAUAUAUACUUGUAUAAUAGUCUAUCUAUAUUCUAGUAAUAGAUAUACUAUUUCAAAUUCUCUUCCCUUAUAGGUGAAUACAAAAUAUGGAGUAUAGUUCCCUGUGCUGCAGAGUAGGCUUGGUGGUUCUACUUUGCACAAGUGCUCUUUUUGGUAAAGGGAAAUACUGUUCCUCCGAAGGUGGGACUCGCGUGCAAAUCCUUGUACGGCUCCCCGUGCAGAGGGGCUGGGAAAAGAGAACCCGGGGCGCCGAUCGCCCCACUCCACCUUCCCUGGGAGCUGUGUUUCUCAUUUGCCACGGUCUCUCCCCAAACGUCGCUCCCUAAAAGCCUCUGUGGGGGAGGUGGGGUUGAGGACAGGUGUCCCCCGAGCUCUCCGCUUCCAGCUGCUUGGUUUACACUCACCUCGCGCUUUGAACAGCCUCCUUAUAAACGGAACAAAGACCUCGCAGUCAAGCCCCAGCCGUAACAAGAACAACAGCAGAAAAAAACUGGUGGACGCUGCCCCUGACAACCGCUGAAACUGUCUCUCUAGGGUAUGAAAAAAGCAACUCACCCCGAGGACCUCGUGGCGCAACGGUAGCGCGUCUGACUCCAGAUCAGAAGGUUGCGUGUUCAAAUCACGUCGGGGUCAAUCAAGCCUGUGUUUUCUUUUCCUUUUUCUCUUGCCCACCAGGAUCAGUUAGUUCGGUCGGUCGUAAGCAAAACGAAACGAGGCUCUGAGGGCUCCCAGCUGUGGACUUUCUCCUACCUUAUCUUUAGUCCUGAGAGACUUUUUUGGGCACAACCCAGCGACAGGCACAGAGAUAAGCUGAAGGGUGAGGAUGAGCUGGAGGGAAAGGAAAAUCCGGGUGAGCCGAGAUUUAAGUCCUUCCAUUUUUUUCCUUAUCAGGAUUAAGCUGCAGAGAGACACCACAUGACUUCAGAGAGGACAUUAAAACAGGGCGUGAGGAGACUCGGUUAAUGAACUCACUCCGGUGUGAAUGUAGGUUUGAUGCUUUCCCAGACCGUCUGGCACAGUCUCUGGAGGUUGAUAUUUGUGUCCUCUUGAUGCAGUCAGUUUCCCUCUCCCCCCUCCCACCCCAGCCACCACCACAUACAUUGGAUGGUUUGAGCUCCCUCUGUCAAAAUCCCUGAACGUUGCGGUUCAAGAGAAAAUGCUGUGAUGUGGAUUCAAAGUUUAUGAUGUUGACCAUAAACUUUGAGAUUUCUGGGAACAGAAAGUGACUCUGGAAUUUAGCACUCUUUUACUUAAGAUUCAUUCAAAUGUAUCUCCACCACCAGCACAAGGGUACAAAACGAUCAAGUUCCAGGCACAAGCCAGUUCUCUUGACUUGAGUGACAAACUCAUGACUUAAUCAGGAUUAAGCUUUCAGUUAAUUCGUUAAACCAGCCUCAAUCCCCCUUCAGUUCAAAAGUGAUAGACUUUUGCAGAGUUUAACAAAUAAGCACAUCAAUGGGCCUCCUAAAGGUUAUUUAUUGAUGUUUAAAUGCAGAGGUACUCAGUUAGCUGACGUGGGGAAUUGAACCGGAGCUGCAGCAGUUAGAGUGCCCAGCCUCAACCACUAGACCACAAGAGAAAUUUCCCAAGUGUGGUUUUUUAAAGGCUGAUGAUGAGCAAACUCUCAGAAUCCAAAGCCUGUUUUGAAGCCAGAGUAGUUUGACCUCUCCAUCUUCUGAUCUAGAAUCAGGUGUGCUACUGUUUCGCCACGAGGCCAUGGAUGCUCAUCUGUUCUAUAUAUUUUAUCGCAUGCCAACUUCCUUGCUUCUCAGUUGCAGAAUUCGGUGUUUGCUAUCCUCCGUCCAGAUGGUUUGGGAUUCCUGCCCUGGGUUUCCUGUUCUUUGAUGAAAAUGUGGAAAAAGUAGAGGCAGACAGGGUUAGGGGAAGGAGCUCGACGUCGCCUCCAAAAACCAGCCCGUGGUCCCUGGGGCUUUUGAGGUUCCCGCCAUCCUUGGAAACAGCACUGCUGGCCCCGCCCCUUCUCUGGGACCGGGUUUCCAGAAGCCACAAAGCCAGAGGAAUAUGAGGUGAGGCCAGAGAUGCUCUUGACUCAGGAGCAUCCUAAGGAUCAGCAGAUGCCAGGGGAAAAUUCGACCCACCCGGGGAAAAUGAGAGGGAGGAACGUGGAAGGAAACGCUGACGUCAGUUGUCUUCAUUUGGGACGAUGGAGCAUCCUGGGUCCUUAGCUAGAGUGGGUCCUACUGUGAGGACACAAAGGUGGCUUGGAGACCAGACCUGUCUUCUACCUCCCUAUGUUCAUAUUCCUGGAAGGGACUUGCCCAUGGACUGCCGUGGACUGACUGCCCAUGUCAUCUGCCUCCCUUCUGUCCCUUCAAAUGCCUGAAACUGCCCUGCAGCGCUGGCUGAGCCAGGUCUUCUACAAAGAGGAAUAGGGGUGGGGGGGGGCCUCCACUGUCAGUAUCGCAGGCCUCGCUUCUGAAGCUUCCCUCCUCUGUAGAAUGACUUUGAGGAGUUCCCUGAUGGACCAGUAGUUAAGAUUUCACGCUUUCACAACUGUGACCCAGGUUUGAUCUCUGGUCUGGGAACUUAGAUUCCUCAAGCCAGAUGUGUGUCUCAACUAGGAGAUAAACAAGUAAAACGUGGCAACUCUGAGGGCAGUUCUCCUAAUUUAUUUCCCCAACAGUUGCAUAAUCAUAAUAGGAUAACAUGAUGUGCUGAGCUGGGGAUGGACCACAGAACAGAAUAGACCAAGCUAGGAAGAAGAAACGUGGGCAGAUGGACCCUCUUCCUCCAGCCCUUCACCCAAGACUUCUCGAGUCACACCUCUGAGGAAAAGUGUUUAUUUUGAAUAAUAUAACUACUAGGUUAUAUAGCAGGAAACUACUAGGUGUUUUUGUUUGUUUUCUUUUUAGGGCUGCACCUGCAGCAUAUGGAGGGCAGGACGUUCCCAGGCGAGGGUAGAAUCCAAGCUACAGCUGUCAGCCUACGCCACAGGUGCAGCAACAGAAGAUCCAAGCCACGUCUUCGACCUAUACCACAGCUCAUGACAAAGCCAGAUCCUUAACCCACUGAGUGAGGCCAGGGAUCGAACCGCAUCCUCAUGGAUACUAGUCCUAUUUGUUUCCUCUGAGCCACAGUGGGAACUCCUGGAAUAAACCAAUUCUUAAGUAGGUUCCACUAUUGUCUUUGGGAUUUUCUUUUUCUUUUUUUCUGGGGGGUGGGAUUUUCUUCCAAGCUGUUAACACCCAUUCUGGCAUGCCUGUUAUACAUUAACAGGGGAAAAAAGUCUAAAUUGUGUAAAUCUAUGGAGAGAAAGAACAGGGUUCUGCAAGAGAAUUAUUUCAGUUAAAGGGAAGGAAGGGGAAGGGAAGGCUUCUUUGAAGAGGUGACAUUUGAACUGAAAUCUGGAGACUGGCUAGAGGGACAUGUUCUAAGCAGAACAUGCAGACUAAGAGAGGCAAAGGGUUUGGGGUGUGUGAGAUGCUAUAAAAAGCCCAUGUGAUCUGAGUAUACGGAAAGAUAGGAAGAUGACUCCCCAAUUCAGGAUAGGCAGAGCCAGAUUAAGCAGGGCUUUAUAAACUGUGUUCACUUUACAUACUACUCCAGGGCAGAAGAAACCACUGAAGGGUUCUGAGAAGAGUGACAUAAACAGAUUUAACUUUUAAACGUUCCUCUCUGCUGCUUCAAACACCACGGACUGAGGGAAUGAACUGAGGAAGAUUAGAUGUGGAGACGGUUCAGGUGAGUACGGUAAUGUGGACUAGAAUGGCAAUUGAGAUACAAUGGGUUUCUCCGGAUUUCCACGAACAGAGCUGCAGCCGCAAGCGUUUCUGACUUUGAAGAAAGUACCUUUUGCUUCGACUGAUCUUUGGCUCCAGGGAAGGGCCCAUCCAAGUCCGCGCCAUCCUCCCUUCCUGGCUUCUUUCUUACGGCUAACGCUUCCUUGUGAUCUUACUCCUAAUCAUGCUGCUGCUUUUAUAUUUCUCCAUAGGGAGAGUGACUUCUCACCCCCGCCAAUGCUUUUCAAACGAGCCAGGAUGCUUUCAACAAAAUCCGCUCUAGCACUCCGUUUCCAGACUUGAGCCUUUAUGGUAAGAACGACUGAGAAAUACUAAGAAAAUUAUUUUGUGUCACGUGUCCCCAUCACCCACCGCCAACUAACAGCCAGACGCUAAUAUCACUCCGAACUUUUAAACGACAGCUGCUCAGGUUAUUCAGAAAAGAGACCUAUCGGUGGGGAAUUAGUUCCAUUUUAAGACCGACACUGAAGGCACAAGUCUCUCUCCUCGCUCUGCAGACGCCCCCAGGACAGGCAGCGGUGUCCCCGAGCCCUCUGGGAAGUGGAGUCCUUCCGCCCGGACCCCCCGACCUGGCGCUGUCGCCUCCGAGUGCGCAGAUGCGACUCCAGACCGAGCCUCGGGCUCGAGCCUUUUGUCACCCCGCAAUUCCGUGGGUCCGGAAGGCGACUGUGUCCGCCCCUCCGGAGCGCAGUCCCGCAGGGAUCCAGCCUCGGGGCGGGAGCCGGGUCCAUAGAGCGCCCCGGGGGUAAGAGAAAGCCGGUUUGAGGCGUGGGGCUCCACAACCCAUCCGUCGGCCGUGCGACUCUAACGCCUCCCACAGCAGCGCGGGCGGGGCUCUCAGGUUCCGGCCUCGGUGGAGGAAGGGCGGGACCCUACCUGCACCUCGACCCCCCUCCCGGGCGCUUCUCCCGGCUAUUUCCGGCCGGGUACCCAGCUUUGUUCUAAGCGAAGGAGCGUCCCGGAAGCGAAGUUGCGCUGAGCAUUUCGGGAAAUGGAGUCCUUGGUGGGGGCAUGAGGAGGGCGUGGCAGAGCGGGGGAUUCUGGGACGAGGAGUGUAGUGGGCGGAAGCGUCUCGCGCUGUUGGCGGCAUUAGAUUUUUGUCUCUCUAUCAAGAGCCUUAAGUCUCUGAACCUUGGGGACAUAAACCAAAUAUUGGGGUCUGUGCCCUGCUCCUUCCCCUUCUCUGCUUUGCUCUAUCAGAGUUUUGGAGCCUGGCUAUAUUUGAGGUCAGUGUCGGGGGUCCCGCUCUGAAAGGGCAAGGGAAUCAUGCGCUGUGUAUUUUCAGGGUCUUAGAGAGUAACGGGUACGACGUAUACGGGCCCCAGCUGUCAGCUGCUUGUGCUUAUGAAUGGUAAGGAGUAAGCUGCUGUGAGAGCCCUGCUUUUGUUACUGCUACGUUAAUCACCGGCCACUUCUGCGCUUUAGGUCUAAGGAGGGUUUGUGCACCGUCUGGAACCAGGUGUGUGACUGAGGCUCAGAGUUCGCUGCCCCGGUUCUCUCCUGUUUUUGCCCUGGUGUGGAAUGUAAGAGGAUGCCCUUACUUGAAGCUAAAUAAUAAAGGUUCCAACCAAAGUAGAAUAACUGCGGCCAUUAGGACUUAAAUGCAUAGGAAUAAGCUUCCUAGGAAUAGUGGGAGAGAUGCCCCAGAGAGCAGCAGUCAAUUCCAGAGAAGGGCUAGCAUUGAAAGAUACACAAAGAAGCAGAUUAUACAUGGCUGAAAAGUCCAUGUUAUCUGAAACAGUGAAUAAGGAGGAGGUCAUAGCAGUAACACGACAACGAAGAGAAGCUGGUCAUGGAUUAUCUGACCAUUGAAGUUGAGGGAAAAGCUGUGACCCCUGAGGAUGCUUUCCUGCCCCCAAGACAGAGCACCGUGGAAAUGGAGUCUACUGUAGUGCUUCUUCCUGAGUUCCAG